rnacentral:lncRNA from 1 species
UUUUUUUUUUUUUUUUUUUUUUACUUUUUCUGUUCUGUGAAAUUAUAAGUGGUUAUCCUUAAGCAGUACUUUGGUGCUUUUUUUUUGCAAUUUAUUUCAGCAAUUUUUUCAAUUUAUAUUAAAAUAUUAAAUAUCUUUAAAAUAUUUUAAAUAUUUGUAAUUUAGUCAUGGGAAAGAAAGGCAAGCAUAAAUAUUAAAAAUUCACUGGGGUUUGUUUAAUUGAAGUUUUCUACCAUUUUAUUAUAUAACUGCCAUUAUAAUGAGAGAAAUCUACAGAUUUAUCAUAAUCCAGGGGUUUACUUACAAAUUAAUAAUAAGAGUAUAUCAUUACAUUUUGAUUUGUCUUCAAUUUCUGUAGUUGAAAUGGUGUUCAUAAUUCAUUUGUUAAGGUUGUGUGUUAAAAAGGAACCAGAAAUCUCACUUGUGGUAUUUGCAUUUUGAAAGACAAAAUAAAAACAAAAGAACAUAGCCGUACCCAAAUAUUUUCCAGUUAUAAUUUGAUUUUGCAGAUGACAUAAAGCAUUGUAUUCUAUAGGCUAAUUUAAGAUGAUUCAAAUUUUAUGUUGAAGUUGAAUUAUUUUGAUCAUAUACUCAAGUGCAAAUGUGAUGUCUAGCCAUCUCUACACCAUUGAGGCAUUCCAGUUACACAAAUGAUUUCUUUUUUAUGUGAUGAAGUAUUGUGCUCAGGUUAAUUAAAUUUCAUGUCAGUCGACCAAGUUUCCUUAUAUAUUUAUAAUGUGAUGUUAAUUCACAGAGGUUGCUCCAUAAAUUGUUUUUCUUUCCCACUAUUUACAGUUUCACAGGAAUACAUCACCAGUAAUACAGUUUGGGUGUAAACCUAACUAUUUCAUCUGAAUAAACAGUUUUAUCUUUAAAGUGAAAACUUAAUGUUGAUAAGUAGGCCAAACAAAUAAACUAUGAGGAGGAAAGCAUAUCAUGAAAGCAAAAUAGUUUUAAAGGAAUUCAUACCCUGGGUUCAUUUUGCCCUAUUUGAAAUGUUUCAAAAUAUUUAAAUGAGGAAAAGUAUAGUAUUCCUAUUUCUUAGCUCAAUUCAUUGAUAACAGUGUAUUUUGGCAAUGGAUGCAAGACCUUUUAACUUCUUCAACAUAAGAAAUUAAAUAAGAUGAAAUAUUAUUGUUAUCAUUCUUUUUAGUGUUUCCUUUUACAUUACAUGUCACUUACAAAGUACAGAGCAGCAGGAAUUAGGAAUUGUCAGUGAUAUUCUUAUAAAAUUUUUUACUUUAAACCUCUCCCUGGAGGAGAUCCUACAUUGAAUUUCAGAUGAGCUGUUGUCAUACAUACACUGUCUUGAGAGAGGAUUAUGAGGAGAUUAGAGUACAUAAACUGUCGUGGUCCAUGUGCAGGUUGGAAAAAGAAUUUGCAGACUCAGAGUGGGGUGAAAGAAAGAUAAGUUUGUUGAGAUAAGGAAUGAUGCUAGUGCAGUGGGCUGACUUCCUGGUAAUCAGGGAGAGCCGACCUGAGCACGUGGUCACGUCUGUUUUGAUAGCCAAGGAACAAAGGAGAGAUGAGAGGUCUUAUGAUACACUUGGAGUUGGUUGGGGGCAUAUAAUGCCCCAUAGAGGCAGGAUGAGAAGUGGGCGAAAUACCUUUCCUAGUAGCAGCAGGAAGGAGUAGGCCAGGUUGCUCAGGAAGAGCUACAGAACUCUGUAACAACUGUAAUGGGAUGGAAGGGUGAUGAGGGUCUGGUGAUUUUUAUCCUGUCAACGCUGACAUCCUGAGACUGAGUUUAACUCCUUGAAGAGGCCUUGGAGUUCCACAGUAUCCACUAAACAUAACUUGAAAUUAUUUCAAAACCUCUUUAAAAAAACCCUGUUUGCACUCCCCAACUUCUGUUAUGUUAAAUUUACCCUUGAAAAUGGAAAGAAAAUAACAUUGUAAAGAUGACCUCAAAGCCUUUCCCAGAGUUCCCAUUGUGGCUCAAUGGGUUAAGAACCAGACUAGUAUCCAUGAGGAUGUGGGUUUGAUCCCUAACGUUGCUCAGUGGGUUAAGGAGCCAGCAUGGCCGUGACCUGUGGUGCAGGUCACAGAUGUGGCUUGGAUCCUGCAUUGCUGUGGGUGUGGCAUAGGCUGGCAGCUGCAGCUCCAAUUCAGCCCCUACCCUGGGAACUUCCAUAUGCCACAGGUGCGGCCCUAAAAAAAGCCUUUUUCAUGUAGGGGCCGAGUUCAGGGCCCACUGAGUGUGAGAUUCCACAGCUGCCAUUGGAGGCAUCAGUCACACUUCAUCAGCACUGAGAUCCAUUCAACACACUUUCACAUCUAGCAUUGACACCAGUCUCAGAAAGGAAAUAGAAAACCCAAAUAUUUGUACAGUAAAGAUUAUAUAUUUUUGGAAAUCAAAGUUGUCUAAUAUGUUAUUUCAAUAAAUGGAUUUUUAAAUAAUGAUUCUUUAUAUACAAGAUGAAAAUAAUUUAAGGAGAAAUUGGGGGUAUAACUUUUAAAUAAAACCGAAAGCUAUGAAGAAUCCCAAAGGUAGAGUACAUUUAUCUGCACAUUUAAAUAUUAUUUUAAAAAUAGUUAACAAAAAUCAUUGAAAUCUGCAUGUUCCCCUUACACUUGCAUGAUGUCUGAGAUUCCCAUUUUAACAAUCUUAUGAUGAAGUCUCCCUAAAUAAUUAACAAAAAUAUUUAUUUUUGUUUUUAUUUGUGGGUACAUUAAUACCAGAAGUAUACACAAGAAUAUCGAUAUUGUUAUGGUGCAUGAAUAACUAUAUUAUAUAUAUUUUUAAUCUAGUUUGUUUCUAAUACAUUAUGUGUUAGGUAUAUAUAUUUUAUGUAUUACAUGUGCACAUAACACAUAAAUAUAAAUUUUUAUUUUGUUAUUCCUAAUUCUUAAUUUGGAGCAUGCAAAGAGGAAAUGUAAUAAGUCUACCAGACUUAAAACAUUUUAGUAAAUUAUGGAUUUUCAUAUAUGAUCUAGGAAGUUAUCAGCUUUGUAAGAAGUACUAGGUUCUGCAAAAUACAUAAGUAGCAACAUAGUGGGAAUUGUUUUUCAGGCUAAGGGACUAGCAUGGAUAAGGGCACCAAGAAAAGUAACACCUCUGAGUAUGUAAGGAAAAUAUGCAGUCUGUCUCCCUUUUCCAUAAAUUACUCUCUGCAUGGUGGCCUGAACUGAGGCUGAAGAAGAUGACAGAGGCAUUUGCGUGUUGUCCAAGUUCUAUGUUACAGAAGAUAGAAGUGAUCUGGGGCUUUUGAAAACGUGAGGAUUAAAGUCUGGUUUACACUUGAAAGACGGGACCCCAACAGGAAAGAAUGCUCAGAGUUGGGGAAGCCAGUUUUCAGGCUGGAGCAAUUGUGCAGGUCAGAAAUGAUGAAACCUUGCCUUCAAGCAGCAGUAGUGAUAACUGGAGAAAUGGGCAGCUUUUGAGGAUCAAUGGGUAAAACCAUUGAAACUGGCGAUCAAUGCAUGUGGAUGGAUGGAUGAUGUUAUAAGAAAACUCUGUUUUCUGGCUUCAGUAACUGGUGAACAGAUCAUAAAUGAAUUUGGAGACAGUGUAGAAGAGGAAUAAAUAAUAUGAUGAGUUGAUAUUCUGAGAGAAAUAUGAUGAAUUCAGUUUUUGGCAUAAGUUUUAGAUGUCCACUGGAUAAUCCAAGUGAAAAUGUUUGGAGAGCAGUUUUAUUUAUACAUGCACCUGAAUCUUUGACAUAGCUCAGAGAUCAUGGCUGGGAAAUUUUAAUGUAAUAAAAAUAAAAGAAUGGCUACAACUGCCUAAAUCAAAAUACGUGUAGAUUGGGAGUUGCCAUUGUGAUUAGUGGGUUAUGAACCCAACUAGUAUCCAUGAGGAUGGAGGUUCAGUCCCUAGCCUUGCUCAGUGGGUUAAGCAUCCAGUGUUGCAGUGAGCUGUGUGGUACGUCUAAGAUGCAGCUGGGAUCCUGCAUUGCUGUGCAUGUUGCUGUGGCCGGCAGCUGCAGCUCCAAUUCAACCGUUACCCUGGGAGCUUCCAUAUGCCAUAGGUGUAUCCUUGAAAAGAAAAAAAACAAACAAUCAAAAACAAACAGACAAAAACCCCAAACAAAAUACACAUAAAUAAAGAGAGCAGAGGGAAAAUGAAAUGCAACCAAAGAAUUCCAAUGCUCAUUGUGAGGAGAAGAAAGAAUUUCGGAAAAGUGAACUGUAAUGAAAAUCAAAUGUUUUGAAAUUUUCAUUAUGCAGAGAAGAAUAAAACACCAAGUAAUUUCACUAAAAUAAAAAUUUAUAGAUUCCCGAGGACAUGGAUGAUUUUGCUUCUGAUGGUUUCAGUGGCUUAAAAUCAGUAGAUGUCAUGAGGCAAACAAAGAAAGGCUGGACAGUGGUUCAGACUUGAGGGAAUUCUUAGAGUCAGUGGAGUCGAUUCUGUCAAGAAUCAUAGCUGAGAAAAGAAAAGGAGAUGGGGUGGUAUUGCUGGAGAGAAACUUAAUCAAGGAUUUCCCCCUCUUGUCUUCUUCUGUCAUGGGGAAGACGUAAAGAGAGUACUGAGGAGUGCUCAGUAAGAAAAGAGAUUUUAAAAACAGGAAGCAGGAAUUCCCUGGUGACCUGAUGGUUAAGAACUCGGUGUUGUCAUGACUGUGGUUUGGGUUACUUCUGUAGUCAGCUUCGACCCCUGGCCCAGGAACUUCUGCAUGCCCUGGGCAUGGCCAAAAAUAAAUAAUCGAUAAAAAAUAAAAACAAGAGGCAAACUCUGCCGCCGAAGAGGAAGAAAUGGCCACAUGGGAAAGAUGAUACUAACUGGAACGAGAGCCACUUCCCCCUCUGGACGUGAAGAAACAGAGGAGGGAUGUGGUUUCUGAUGGGAGGUGGUGGGAAGUGGAGACAGUUCCUAUCUUGAGUUCUUCCAUCUCUCUAUAAAGGAGGAAGUGAGGUCCUCUAAGUAGAUAAGAGAUGCUAGUGAAACAGAGUAGUCACUGAGGAUCCAU